UUGGAGGAAUGUAUAGCGAAAGCCAGCUACUUUAACUUAGCUAGAGUUGGUGUAGUAUUGACUAUCUCGAAUAAAGUUCUAGAUGGGUUAUGAUGAUGACAUUUCCCAUCUAUGUGUCUUGACCAAAUUACGUGCCAGCAGUCGCGGUAACACGUAAAAGACUAGUGUUAUUCAUCUUUAAUAGGUUUAAAGGGUACCUAGACGGUAAAUCAAGUCCGAGAAGGAUACUAAUUUAACUAGAGUUUAAUAUGAGGGGGCACAAAAGUACUGAUAAGUGGAGAGAUGAAAUUCUGUGAUACAAUAUACGGCACUGGUAAAGGCGAAGGCAUCUCAUUAUGUAAUAACUGACGUUGAGGGACGAAGGCUAUGUGUAGCAAAAAGGAUUAGAUACCCAAGUAGUCUUAGCAGAAAAUUAUGAAUGUCAUAGGAUAGAACAACAAAUUUUUUUCUAUAAAUGAAAGUGUAAGCAUUCCACCUCGAGAGUAAUAUGGCAACAUUGGAACUGAAAUCAUUAGACCGUUUCUGAAACAAGUAGUGAAGUAUGUUGUUUAAUUUGAUGGUCCGCAAAAAACCUUACCCCAAUUUGAAUAGAAAAAAAAAAUUUUUUUCAUACAAGCGCUGCACGGUUGUCUUCAGUUAAUGUCGGAGAUCUUGGUUAGUUCCAUUAAAUUAACGUAAACCCUUACUUUAUUUUUAUAUAGAGUAGUUCACCGCUAGAUUGGAUGUGAUAACAGGGACUAAGACAAGUCAUCAUGGCCUUAAUAUUGUGGGCUAUAGACGUGCCACAUAAA
rnacentral:rRNA from 1 species